AACUGGAGCUGUGCUCUGGUGACUGGUGUCUGUAACAGGCUGAUGCUCAUCGUUGCCCUCUCUAAAUCCCAGCAGGUGGAUAUGCACAGUUGCAGCACCUUCCAGUAGACAGCUGGCACCUCUGUUAAAUAUUUGUGGCAAUACGUGAAUGCAGAGAUGACCACAAGAAUGCACUACACAUGCUGUGCUGAGGUUUGAUUUAACUGUCUGAAGCCAAGAGAAGCUCCACAGAGACUGCUGAGGACACGCGCUGCAUAAAGCAGCUUUUGACUACUCCAUGACUCAGAGGAAAACCCAGGACACUCAUUAUAAAAUGUGAUUAUGGGCAGCCUUGUAACAACAACAUCUACUGAUAUGGUCCAUGUAAUUAUUUAACAGGGUCCAGAAACUCCUCGACUAUCCAAAAUAAUCCUCUGUCUGGUUCAGCCUGCUGGCUGAGAGGACAAGUAUCCAGCUGCUUGCACUAAGACCACAGGAAGACUGAGGGGGACUAGAUCUGGUUGCUUUUCCUCCAAACUUCAGCAAGGAUUAUAGCAUGUCUCUGGAUAACAUUCCUAGGAAUAAGCAUAGAAAAUUUGCCAGCUGAGUUCCCACAGAGAUAUGAGCCUGACUUGGAACUUAACACUUGCUCUACCUGCUCCUAUAUGUUCUGCGUAGUGAACAACUUAUUUCUUCAGCAGUUCUUGAAAUCACUUCAAUAUUGUUAUUUGCCAAUAUCACCAGGAGAAACAAAGGCAGAAUUUACCAAUUGCAUUUUGCAGUCAAAGGAAAGAUGGAAGCAAACUAGUAAAGAAAAAGAGAGACAUAGCCCUUUUUAAAAAGGCAUUCACUCAUUUAAGUAACUGAGUGACAUUGCCAGGAGGUACAGGCAUGUAUUGGCAAUCUUGAUGCCUGGCAGGUAAAAAGAGUGGACAUUUUCUUACCCUGUGGAAGUCCUUUAUAGGUCAUGAACUCUAAAUUUAUCAUCAUCAGACACCACACACUGGCUUUUCUUGAAGAAAGAAUGAAUAUAGAACAUUUUCUCAAAGCUUCAUUAUAUUUCACUUAGAACAUGAUUGAACUUCACUGCAAAUGAUAUUUACUCUUCAUAGCCUUG